GGCUCCAUCGCUUAGCUGGUUAAAGCGCCUGUCUCAGAAACAGGAGAUCCUGGGUUUGACUCCCAGUGGGGCCU
rnacentral:tRNA from 1 species